AAGGGAGACCUAAUUCCGGUAGGAGACGAAAAAAAAGUAGUCCCAACCAAGAAUCAAUCCCAAAAGGUCGGAACGAGGUAUGAGGCUUUCAAACUAGGUUCUGGGUUCAUAAAAGACCUGAAUCAGGAACAAGGGCUAUUAGCUCAGGUGGUUAGAGCGCACCCCUGAUAAGGGUGAGGUCCCUGGUUCGAGUCCAGGAUGGCCCACCUGCACAGGUGGCAAAAACAAGAGAAGCUCCGAAUCAGCACCUUAUCUUAUAUACAUAUAUAAGAGAGAAUGCUGGCUCUGAGUACAGAGUCCAGAGGAACCUUGAAAACUGCUUAGAGCUAGGUGAAAAAGCCAAAAAAGAAUACCGCAA
rnacentral:tRNA from 1 species